rnacentral:rRNA from 1 species
UGCUACCAUUUAGUUGGGCACUCUGACAGGACUGACUGGGAAACCAGUAGGAAGGUGGGGAUGACGUCAAGUCAUCAUGGCCCUUAUGUCUAGGGCGACACACGUGUUACAAUGGCCAGUACAGAGGGAUGCAAACCUGCGAAGGUAAGCGAACCCCAGAAAGCUGGUCUAAGUUCGGAUUGGAGUCUGCAAUUCGACUCCAUGAAGUUGAAAUCGCUAGUAAUCGCGUAUCAGAACGACGCGGUGAAUACGUUCUCGGACCUUGUACACACCGCCCGUCACACCACGAAAAUUGUUCAUACCCGAAAUCGUCUUAGCUAACCUCUCACGAGGAGGCGGGCGCUGAAGGUAUGGGGAGUGAUUGGGGUG